rnacentral:lncRNA from 1 species
GGGAACGCUUACUUGUUCCUUAACAACUAUUCCUUCAUCCUCUUUUAUCCAUUGAAGUUUGUAAGGGUUAGGAUGAGGGGUAGGAGUUAAGCCUAGCUUUUCAACCAUUCUAGAGCUACAACAAUUACAACAAGAACCACUAUCCACAAUCAUAGAACAAGUUUUAUCAAGAACUUUGCAGCGAGUGUGGAAGAGGUUUUCUCGUUGAGUCUGUUCUAACUGAACAUGCUUUGCUUCAAGGAGUCUUCUAACCAUGAGAAGAUCUCCAUCACAAGGUGGAGCUUCAUGUUCCUCCUCAGAUGAGGACAACUCAGAUGUGCUAGAAGAGGACUCCUCACUUGGACUCUCAUGUUCAAGGAUAUAGGUUGACUUUUUGAAGUGACACUCAUUUGAAUAGUGUCCUCUUGCUCCACAUUUGAAACAUCUAGUCUCUCUACCCUUGGUAUCUCUAGGUGGCUCUCUUGAAGUCCUUUGUUCUUUUCCCUU